rnacentral:tRNA from 1 species
AUCAGAGUUAGUUUAAUUAGAACAAUGAUCUUCUAAAUCAUAGAUGUAAAGGUAAUACUUUUCACUCGAUA